AUGAUCGCAAAGUGUCAGCUUCAGCACCCGAGGAGAGGACAGCUCCGCUGUGUCUGCUCCUCCGGACCUCCGGACCUCCGGACCGCGACGACAGCCACCCUGCUGCAGGCAGCCGGUGAGGCCGGCACCUCCAGCCCGACACUCCGCCCCUGCAAGUCUGGAAGAAGUCUGAACACCCGCCGACGGAGAGAUCCGCGACUGACGGUGUGCUCAAUAUGUACCAGGGGCAUUUACAGGACAAGAGGUGAUCACGAUCAGAGGUUUUAAAACUGCUGCGUCCGAACUACACCUGUCGUCCAACUAACUGAGGGCCGCGUGCUCUGAUCAAUUACAGCUAAAAUGACGAGCUUUUAAGAGAGAAUCGUCUACAUUGAGUCAAAAUGUUCAUUGAGAAAAAACAGAGAGAGAGAGAGAGAGAGAGAGAGAGAGAGAGAGAGAGAGAGCUGCUGGAGCGCGCCAACACUGCACGUGCAGGUACAUGUCAAAUGUAAACAGGAGGCGAGCCGGUUUUACGCAGGGCAACCUGCACACUGCAACAAAUCAUCGGUUUCUUAUAACGUGGAUACUUAUGCACACGUGACGUCAUGCAAUCUGACGUCAAAGUCCACACAUUAAACCAUGCUGAGGAUGCACUUUGUGUUACACACACACCGGAAUGCAACGCUUUAGAUGCCAAAAAAAAACCUGGUUUAACAAUGGUCAGAGCAUGACAAAAUAGAAGGCAUGUAGAGUAUAGAAUUAAAAAAGCUUGGUUGCACGUUUCCUUCUGCAAAAAUCCUCCAGCUGCAGCUCGGUGAUUCCAACACUGCACUUCAACAUAAUCACACACUGUCAUCUGAACACAAUAAGAUCACAGAGCAAAGCAGUGAUUCCCUCCAUGGUGGUCAAUGAUAUAAGCUCUCCUCCAUUCACAUGCUUGGAUUUUUAAAAAAAACCAGCUAAUUCUGUUGGUUUACAAAGAUACUUCAGCUCCACACAGACAGCUGGUUAUGCAACGGCUGACCUCACUCCUGAGUCAGUACUCAGGAGCAUUAAACAUCAACAUUUAAUAUUUCAUGAUAUAUUUCUCAAGCAGUAUUCAUUGAAAAUGCAUGAAUAGACAGUCCGCACUUCUCGUCUGGUCUACCCCGGCUGUGUUUGUAAUGGGUCAGUGAAAAAAGCCUGUAAUAUAAUAGUGAAAAUAUAUAGUAUCAAACACAUGCUUUUUUUUUUGUUUUACAGUUUUCCAUGUUUCAUCCCACGAUGUUCCAAUUAUCUGACACUUUAU
rnacentral:lncRNA from 1 species